AACGCGAAGAACCUUACCAGGAUUUGACAUCCCACUAACGAAGUAGAGAUACAUUAGGUGCCCUUCGGGGAAAGUCGAGACAGGUGGUGCAUGGUUGUCGUCAGCUCGUGUCGUGAGAUGUUGGGUUAAGUCCCGCAACGAGCGCAACCCUUACCGUUAGUUGCUACGCAAGAGCACUCUAAUGGGACCGCCAUCGACAAGAUGGAGGAAGGUGGGGACGAUGUCAAAUCAUCAUGCCCCUUAUGACCUGGGCUACACACGUACUACAAUGGCCGUUAACAGAGGGAAGCAAUCCCGCGAGGAGGAGCAAACCCCUAAGAACGGUCUCAGUUCAGAUUGCAGGCUGCAACCCGCCUGCAUGAAGUCGGAAUUGCUAGUAAUCGCGGAUCAGCAUGCCGCGGUGAAUACGUUCCCGGGUCUUGUACACACGC
rnacentral:rRNA from 1 species